AUUGAACGCUGGCGGCAUGCUUUACACAUGCAAGUCGAACGGUAACAGGCCGCAAGGUGCUGACGAGUGGCGAACGGGUGAGUAAUGCAUCGGAACGUGCCCAGUCGUGGGGGAUAACGCAGCGAAAGCUGUGCUAAUACCGCAUACGAUCUAUGGAUGAAAGCGGGGGACCGUAAGGCCUCGCGCGAUUGGAGCGGCCGAUGUCAGAUUAGGUAGUUGGUGGGGUAAAGGCCCACCAAGCCAACGAUCUGUAGCUGGUCUGAGAGGACGACCAGCCACACUGGCAGUGAGACACGGCCCAGACUCCUAAGGGAGGCAGCAGUGGGGAAUUUUGGACAAUGGGCGCAAGCCUGAUCCAGCAAUGCCGCGUGCAGGAAGAAGGCCUUCGGGUUGUAAACUGCUUUUGUACGGAACGAAACGGUCUGGGUUAAUACCUCGGGCUAAUGACGGUACCGUAAGAAUAAGCACCGGCUAACUACGUGCCAGCCGCCGCGGUAAAAC
rnacentral:rRNA from 1 species